rnacentral:rRNA from 1 species
AACCGAGAUUCCCCCAGUAGCGGCGAGCGAACGGGGAGGAGCCCAGAGCCUGAAUCAGCAUGUGUGUUAGUGGAAGCGUCUGGAAAGGCGCGCGAUACAGGGUGACAGCCCCGUACACAAAAGCGCAUGUGCUGUGAGCUCGAUGAGUAGGGCGGGACACGUGGUAUCCUGUCUGAAUAUGGGGGGACCAUCCUCCAAGGCUAAAUACUCCUGACUGACCGAUAGUGAACCAGUACCGUGAGGGAAAGGCGAAAAGAACCCCGGCGAGGGGAGUGAAAAAGAACCUGAAACCGUGUACGUACAAGCAGUGGGAGCACAGGUUUACCUGUGUGACUGCGUACCUUUUGUAUAAUGGGUCAGCGACUUAUAUUCUGUAGCAAGGUUAACCGAAUAGGGGAGCCGGAGGGAAACCGAGUCUUAAUUGGGCGUUAAGUUGCAGGGUAUAGACCCGAAACCCGGUGAUCUAGCCAUGGGCAGGUUGAAGGUUGGGUAACACUAACUGGAGGACCGAACCGACUAAUGUUGAAAAAUUAGCGGAUGACCUGUGGCU